AGCUUUGCGCAGUGGCACUAUCGUAGCCAAUGAGGUUUAUCCGAGGCGCGAUUAUUGCUAAUAGACUAGAGUGGGAAGAGGUGAGACGGGGUGUCCUCGGUGCACUGUGUAGUGAGCAUGAGAGAGGAUUCUGUGAUGGGCAGAGCCC